UACGGAAUGUGCAAACGUUAUUCGGAAUCACUGGGCUUAAAGAGUCCGUAGGCGGCAUGUUAGGUGAGGUGUGAAAUCCCCCGGCUCAACCGAGGAAUUGCGCUUCAAACCGGCGUGCUUGAGGAAGCUAGAGGUGGGCGGAACUGAUGGUGGAGCGGUGAAAUGCGUUGAUAUCAUCAGGAACACCGGAGGCGAAGGCGGCCCACUGGGUCUUUUCUGACGCUGAGGGACGAAAGCUAGGGGAGCGAACGGG
rnacentral:rRNA from 1 species